AGUUCAACUCGCCGUUGAAGGCCGGUAGAGAAGACGCUUCAAAGAGAAACGAGAAGGCGCCGGCCUAGCGUUUCUCCGGCCUCCGGCAAUGGCUUCCUGCUUGAUUUCCAUCCCUAGGCCAGCUCAUGGAGAUGAUGCACAGUCUCAAGGCUAUCGUUGACGAGAACAUGCAGGCUGGCAGGGAGAUGCUCCGCGCCAAUCUUGAUUUGAUGUGAUCUCUCUUUAGGGCAGAAUUGUUGCUGCGGAUGCUUCUAUGGAUGAUGACGUGGAUGAUAUUUUUGAUGAUCAAGCUAAAGCUACUUAUUCUCGGGAACUGCUGCAGCCACAUUUGAGCCCACCACCAAGCCCAGCUUGCUCGCUGAGUUUUCCACCUCAGGGUGGGAAUCAUCUAGGAGAGCCAUCUUCACCGUCUGAGGAUGAAGAAACUCCACCACCUAGCCAGACACCACCCAACAGCACUAGAGGAGAUAAGAAGUGAAGUCUUUUGCCUGUGAGGGACUACAUCUGCAUCCUUCUGAAGAAGCUGCAACUGAUGUGGACCCCCAAUGUUGUUCUUGUCCCGGUCGUUAAAUAAUGAACUAAGACUUAUUUCGUUUCGUUUAUGUUAUAUGGAUGGUGUGAUACCGACAAUGCUAUGCGCGCUUUCUGAAAUGACUAUGACAUUUCUUUUAGAUCGUGCAUCUUAUUUAUUAAAUGUUUUUUGUU